GAUGAACGCUGGCGGCGUGCCUAAUACAUGCAAGUCGAGCGAACAGACGAGGAGCUUGCUCCUCUGACGUUAGCGGUGGACGGGUGAGUAACACGUGGAUAACCUACCUAUAAGACUGGGAUAACUUCGGGAAACCGGAGCUAAUACCGGAUAACAUGUUGAACCGCAUGGUUCAACAGUGAAAGACGGUCUUGCUGUCACUUAUAGAUGGAUCCGCGCCGCAUUAGCUAGUUGGUAAGGUAACGGCUUACCAAGGCAACGAUGCGUAGCCGACCUGAGAGGGUGAUCGGCCACACUGGAACUGAGACACGGUCCAGACUCCUACGGGAGGCAGCAGUAGGGAAUCUUCCGCAAUGGGCGAAAGCCUGACGGAGCAACGCCGCGUGAGUGAAGAAGGUCUUCGGAUCGUAAAACUCUGUUAUUAGGGAAGAACAAAUGUGUAAGUAACUAUGCACGUCUUGACGGUACCUAAUCAGAAAGCACCGGCUAACUACGUGCCAGCCGCCGCCGUAA
rnacentral:rRNA from 1 species